rnacentral:misc_RNA from 1 species
AACCUAGCACACCUGCGGUGUGUACCUGCGGAGGGAUCAUUAACCUUUCAAAUCAGGGUGCGGCGCGGCCCCCGAGGAGCGGAAACAAUCCUUGGGAGGUAUGCGGGGGCUUCGAGCCCCCCAUUUACGCACGCACGACUGCCAUCCUUACCUUACGAGCACCUUCUGUUCUCCCUCGGCGGGGCAACCUGCCGUUGGAACCGAAUAAACUCUUUUUGCAUCUAGCAUUACCUGUUCCGA